rnacentral:rRNA from 1 species
UGGGGAAUUUUGGACAAUGGGCGCAAGCCUGAUCCAGCCAUGCCGCGUGCGGGAAGAAGGCCUUCGGGUUGUAAACCGCUUUUGUCAGGGAAGAAAUCUUCUGAGUUAAUACCUCGGGAGGAUGACGGUACCUGAAGAAUAAGCACCGGCUAACUACGUGCCAGCAGCCGCGGUAAUACGUAGGGUGCAAGCGUUAAUCGGAAUUACUGGGCGUAAAGCGUGCGCAGGCGGUUUUGUAAGACAGAGGUGAAAUCCCCGGGCUCAACCUGGGAACUGCCUUUGUGACUGCAAGGCUUGAGUGCGGCAGAGGGGGAUGGAAUUCCGCGUGUAGCAGUGAAAUGCGUAGAUAUGCGGAGGAACACCGAUGGCGAAGGCAAUCCCCUGGGCCUGCACUGACGCUCAUGCACGAAAGCGUGGGGAGCAAACAGGAUUGGAUACCCUGGUAGUCCACGCCCUAAACGAUGUCAACUGGUUGUUGGGAAGGUUCCUUCUCAGUAACGUAGCUAACGCGUGAAGUUGACCGCCUGGGGAGUACGGCCGCAAGGUUGAAACUUAAAGGAAUUGACGGGGUCAUAGCUGUUUCCU